GUUGACAGUUCAAGAUUCAAUCCUUUAUUUGUCUGUGCUCGAUAGGUAAGUAUGAGAUUAAGUAUUUGUUGACUUCGGAUCCACUGUAAAUGAAGUAUGGAAUCCCAUCCCCGUUAGAAAGAAUGAUUCCUGGUUAUUAUGGUUAUUAUGGAGUCCUGUUUUGGGGGUCGGCUAAAAGAGUGACUGUUGCUGUUGCGCUAACGGGAGCCCAAUAACCUUUUGAAUUCCAUUAUGACUUGAUACUUUCGAGAUCGUAUAGAAGCAGGGGUAGGUCAUAUUACUUACUUAGAUACUCGGCACAAAUAGAUAGAAAUGAGAAUCCGGCAGUUCGAGGAAAG
rnacentral:lncRNA from 1 species